rnacentral:rRNA from 1 species
UACGUAGGGGCAAGCGUUGUCCGGAAUCAUUGGGCGUAAAGCGCGUGUAGGCGGCUCGAUAAGUCUGCUGUGAAAGUCCAGGCUCAACCCUGGGAUGCCGGUGGAUACUGUCGAGCUCGAGUCCGGAAGAGGCGAGUGGAAUUCCUGGUGUAGCGGUGAAAUGCGCAGAUAUCAGGAGGAACACCAAUGGCGAAGGCAGCUCGCUGGGACGUAACUGACGCUGAGACGCGAAAGCGUGGGGAGCAAACAGG